GCAAACUAUUCGAAAGAAUAAGGCGCAAAACCACAGGCCUUUAAAAUGGUAGCUGGGUUACUGAA
rnacentral:ncRNA from 1 species